UCAAAAUAAAAUUUGAUAAUUUAUAAUUAUUUAUAUGGAUAGAGGAAAAUUGUUCAUGAUUUGGUUUUUUUUUUGACCUUUACUAAAUCUAAAAAUUAAAAAGGCCACCACUUUUGAAGUUGCCCUCCAGCCGAGAGAAUUCCCCUUUUCUCUCCCCUUUUCUGAAGUUGCCCUCCAGCCGAGAGACUUUCUUCCUCUGCCACUCUCAAUCCUCGCAGCCAAGUCCAUGCAUGUCAACUUCCUCCAAGCUCCACAAAUACCCAUCAUCUUUUAUCUCCACAUUUGGAGACUACAAAUUGAUGGAGAGAUCACGCCUAAAGCAACUGGUGAAUUCCACGCAAACCAUGGACGAUGAGUUGAUCAAGAAGUACUUCAAAGCAAUCAACUAUGGGAUGAUGAAGCCAACUUCUUGAGAGGUUUGUCAGUAUAGAGUGGGAGAUCUCAUCUCACAGAUUGAAAGCUCUAUUCAAUCUAAAGAAUUGGGAAACACCCAUGGAGCAGACCAAAUUGAGGAUGGUAAUCUAAGAACUUAGUUUUUUAAUUAACAAAUUUGACCAUUGAUGCUUGAAGCUUGUUC